AGUUGCUUGUUGGGGGCUCACUACCGUCACAUCAUCAGAACAUGGAUUUCUUCGUGAUUUAAGUGCAAUAUUUUGUUAAAAUCAGCAUCUAAAACAGCUUCUUUUCACCAUCACGAUGCAGUGAGCCUCUCAUCAGACCAUCAACCAACGCCUCCAGGCGACCGUCACUUCAGAUUCGGGUGAACCUCAGAGGGGUGACUUUCGCCCAGACCUGCAGAGCCUUUCCAAUGGAGUCGUCCACCUCAGCUGGGCUCAUGUCUGGAGUGUAGCUCACGAUCCUGCAAGGCAGAUGAAGGACCCAAGGUCAUUGGCAAAAGUGGAGAAGCGGGCGAUAGGGAUGUCCGAAACACCACAGCGGGGCAUCUUCAUCGCCGCCAGCGUGUUCUCAUCCAGGGAGCCGGUGAUCUCCAGGCCGAAGAACCGCUGCAUCUCCAUCAGCUUACUGGCCAGCGGGCUUAUCCCCCGCCGAAAAACCGGACCGUCGUCUUCUGUGAGGUUGUAGAAAUUCUUCAGGUAGUUCUGCGGAAGAGAAAAGCAACGGUUGGAAAAUGCCAAAGGAAGCAUCCCAGACAACAGGUUGAAGGUUCAAUACCUUGGCUAAAUCUUCAUCUUGCUGGGUGAUCUGGGACAGCGGCAUGCAGGAGGCUGCGGCUGCCAGGCAGAGCAGAAUGCUGAGAGUCUUCAUCUUUGUGGUUUGUUUUCAACUUGUGCCAGUGAGGUGGGCUGCGGCCACUUUUAAAGGCUGCCGAUAGUAGACGUUGAGCAAGACGGUGAGUCAGGCGCCCUGCCUUUUAUGGACCAGAGAGGAAGUUGCUCACCCGAGAAAAAAAAGUCCCCCGCCAUCAAAGUUGUCACCAUGACGUGUAUGACUUUGCACUGGAAGAUUUUCAGCUAACAAUCUGAGAAAAGUCAUAAUCGUAGGAAUAGAUCAUGAAUUCAAUUCUGCCUGAAGUGAUUUGUAAUUUGACAAUUAUUAAAAUGUUUUCAUCUCGGAUGCACGAUGAAGUCAUUUGAGGUUCAGUUCAAUUUAAUUUUGGAGGCUACAUUCACAUUUUUAACUUUAUCACUCGUGGAAAUUAUAUCCAUUUAAAAAAAAAAUCAUUUUUCUUCACACAUUACGCACAUAAUCCUCUGCUGCUCAUAUGAAUUCACUGGAUGACUCUGCCUUUCCACUGGAGAAACACUCAAGUCUGGUCAAGCCUGAUACAUUCACAUUCUACAUCUGAGAACGUAUAAAGAGCAAGUCAAGACCAAACUCUUCCAUCUACAGGGAUCAAAAACACCCCCAUCCUGAGCAGACACGGCUCUCGCGUCACCCUGAA